AUGACAAUUUCUUUAAGAACACACGGCAAAUUCUGGCAGAUAGAGGAUUUGUUGAAUUGCAUCCAGUCCCAAAUCCAGAAACAGGAAAAAAAAAUCUUCACAAGAAUAUUCUUGCGUUACAGUACUUUUGGCAGAACAAGUGGCUGGGAUCAAAUCCCGCCCAAACGGUUUUUCUCAUGUCGAUGCAGCGAGUUCAUGGACUCGAGAGUCCACCCGUUGUAUCGGUGGUACCACGCCUUGGGGGUGCUCAAGGAAGAAUCCGUUGACGACUUUGCCAUAGCACUCGGGAUCUCUUCCUUCAGGUCGGUCAGUAUCACCGAAAGGAAAGAGAAUUAUGCAACUAGUAGAUAA
rnacentral:rRNA from 1 species